AGUGAACGCUGGCGGUAGGCCUAACACAUGCAAGUCGAACGGCAGCACAGUAAGAGCUUGCUCUUACGGGUGGCGAGUGGCGGACGGGUGAGGAAUACAUCGGAAUCUACUUUUUCGUGGGGGAUAACGUAGGGAAACUUACGCUAAUACCGCAUACGACCUACGGGUGAAAGCAGGGGAUCUUCGGACCUUGCGCGAUUGAAUGAGCCGAUGUCGGAUUAGCUAGUUGGCGGGGUAAAGGCCCACCAAGGCGACGAUCCGUAGCUGGUCUGAGAGGAUGAUCAGCCACACUGGAACUGAGACACGGUCCAGACGACUACGGGAGGCAGCAGUGGGGAAUAGUGGACAAUGGGCGCAAGCAUGAUCCAGCCAUACCGCGUGGGUGAAGAAGGCCUUCGGGUUGUAAAGCCCUUUUGUUGGGAAAGAAAAGCAGCAGGUUAAUACCCAGCUGUUCUGACGGUACCCAAAGAAUAAGCACCGGCUAACUUCGUG
rnacentral:rRNA from 1 species